rnacentral:rRNA from 1 species
CAGUAGCCGCGGGAAAACGUAGGGUGCAAGCGUUAAUCGGAAUUACUGGGCGUAAAGCGUGCGCAGGCGGUUAUAUAAGACAGAUGUGAAAUCCCCGGGCUCAACCUGGGAACUGCAUUUGUGACUGUAUAGCUAGAGUACGGCAGAGGGGGAUGGAAUUCCGCGUGUAGCAGUGAAAUGCGUAGUUAUGCGGAGGAACACCGAUGGCGAAGGCAAUCCCCUGGGCCUGUACUGACGCUCAUGCACGAAAGCGUGGGGAGCAAACAGGAUUAGAUACCCGCGUAGUCCCUGUCUCUUAUAC